rnacentral:lncRNA from 1 species
UUUGGUUCCCUGUUCUGCAUUUUAAAAGCCAAGAUUAGUACACAAAAUCAUACAUGCACUUAACAUAUUUAGUAUAUAGAUGGAGGCGAUUUGGUGGUUACCUUCUGGUCAUUCAGUGUCUCCUUGAGAUUCAGUCUAAGCCUCCUUAGGCUAAACGUAUCCAAUGUCUUCUUCUUCCUUGUACUAGGCACCGUUCCAUAGGCUCAGGCUACCCAGUGCUUCAGAUUGGUUAGCCUUGCUUCAAUUCUCUUGCUCCACUGCCACAGGUUCAGUAACUUUCUUCGCAGCAGCAGCUUCAGGAACCGUUGUUGCCUCCACGGUGAUGGAGUCCGUGGAUAGGGACUUGGUGGC